rnacentral:misc_RNA from 1 species
AAGCCCCUCCCACUUUUGACCUUCAUAGCGACCCCUCCUACGCCUCCCUGCUCCGACGCAUCACCCCCACCCGCCUCCCUGCUCUGCUUUGCACACGCACACAUCAAAAAGGAACGAAGUAGCGAAAGCAGGAAACAGGUGAGACACCAUCAAAAAGGAAAAAGGAAAACUAAUGACUAGCCUACAGAACCUCUUUGUGGCGAAGCUGCCACGCAACCUCACUGACGCCGACCUAGAGCAAAUUUUUGUCCAGUACAACCCCACCAGCGCCAAGGUAAUGCUGGACGCCACAACGGGCAAGAGCAAAGGCUUCGGGUUCGUGCUGUUCGCCUCUGAGGACGCCGGUCGCACGGCGUACGAGAAGCUGAACAAGACCCAUGUCACACUGCACGGCCACAAUUUUAAUCUCUGCAUCUUCCCGUCGAAGCACGAUGGCAAGGUCGCCAUGGAGGAAAGCAACGCCCUCUACGUGCGCAAUAUCCCGCUGAAGCUGUCGCAGGCGGAGGUGGAACAGUUUCUGCGCGGUUUCGGUCCGCUCACCUACUGCGCGAUGCGCGAGGACAACUUCGGCGGUAGCGUCUGGGUAGUCUAUGCCGAGUUCGACAGCGUCGAAUCCGCGAAGCGUGCCCUGAUGAGUUUGCACGGUAACCGCACCUACUUCAAUACGUCGGUUGCCAUCUUGGCCAAGUACGCCGACUCCGAAGAGACGAAGCGGGAGCGUCGUCGUCGGCGCGAGCAACAGCAGGCGGAACAGCAGCACCUCGAUACGAUACACAACUUCGGGUCUCCAACGGCCGCUCUCGACAGCAACAAGGGAUUUGCUGUCCAGAUCCAAAACGCGCCACUGCCGCCGCCGCCGCCGCCGCCCCCCCUGCCGAUCCGUACCAGCCCUGGCCACAGCCGCACCGGGAGCACCCUCGCAAACUCCUACUCCGCCUCUGAUAUGCACAUGGAGGGCACCAGCGCCUCGCUGCACCCGCCGACUUUCGCCAGCAUUUCCCACCACUUUGCCCCUGGCCGUCAUGGAGGCGGCGGCCCACCGCCAGGAAUGGGCCAGCCCGCAGCGCCGCCGGCGUCGUCGAUGCUGGCACCGUCCACGCUACAGCCGACGCAGGCGGUGUCCGGCCAGCCCCAGCAAUCUCCCACUCCCAGCUCGGGGUCCUUCCUCAACGUUACUUUUAACCCCACAAGCGCAAACAACUUCGGCAACAGCUUCACCCACUACGGCGGCCUUGACCAGACACCGAGCCGCAGCUCUCCUGGCACACCACUGAACUUUAGCUUUGGCCCGGAAAUGGAGAACUCUGGGGCCCUCGCCAACGGCCUCGGUACCGGCAGUAACGGGAUGCUGGACGCGAGCGGGCACGCGCCCAUGACGCCGGUACGUCGCAGCAGCAACUUGAGCACAAGCGGCAGCUACCGUCACAACCCGUACGCGCCGGUCACGCCGGUGUCCUCGACGCACAACUCAACUGGGCCCAGCACCCCUUUAGUUUCCUCCAUUGCGUAUCCCACAGCGCCGCUCGUGAACAUGCAUUUUGGGGCGUCGCAUCACCUUCACAGCUCGCCGGUGGCGCUCCACCCGCCGGGGCCGGGCAUAGGCGUCGCGAAUAACCACUUUGCCAGCCGCGGGAACAACGCAUAUCUGGCCGCACCAGCGAGCCUCAACGACCUAAGCCAGUAACGUCGCAAACAAAAAGUACCGACAAAAAAAAGUGCAGAAAACAACAUAAGCACGAUGAUUACCCACACCUGCGUGCACAAAAGGGGGCAGUAACGUAUCCCGUGACGCGCGCACGCGAGAGGGAAAAGAAACCGUAUGGGUAUGCGUGUGGCGUGGAGAAGGCAAGCCCAGGUGAAGGGGGACGACAAAGAGAAAGGGCCAGGGUGAGCAUCGAGCACGCAUGCGGACAGAAAUGCCUGUUUACAGCGCAAACCAACGACGAUACGCGGUCCUGCCCGGGGUGACAGAACAAAACAUAGUAGGCACCCACCGUGUAAAGAGGAAGGAAUAGAAAUGUGGUGAAAAGUGCCGAAACGGAUUUGGAAAGAAACCUGUAUGCCGGCGUGACCGUCGCCGACUGCUUUCUACGGUGUGUAAUCGAACUCCUAGGUAGGCAGACGGAGGGAGGGAGGCGAGAGACUACAGCGCACGAACAGGUGAAAGGGGAUGAGGAGAAGCCAAACUGUGAACAAACGCAAAAAUGCACGAGCGCUUCAACUUAUUUGUAUACAACUCCUUUUUUGUUUUUCUUUGUGCGCUGCUUGGUAGUGUGAAGAAGUUAUAAGGUGUGUCUUACCUCCACUGCCUUCUCCGACAGGAAACAAGAAACUCGUGAAAGCGGCAUAUUCUACUUGUGUGUGUGUGUCUACUUCGAGCUUCUCCGGUGGCAUCUCUUUGUUCCUUUGAUUUUUUUUCCGCCUCGCCAUAUUUUCGACUCCCCGCACUCCCCCCUCCAAACAUCCUAGAGCCCCUCUAACAUCUAUCCUUUGAGAUCACGGAAGAAUCCUCUUAAGAAAAACGCUUCGCUAUCCGCAUGCCUUCUUUUUCUCCUGUGGCUCUUUCCUCUAUGUGUCAGUGAAGCUCCGCCCCUGCCGUGAAGCGUUGUCUCAUCGUUAUUAGUCUGACGCUCUUAAAUGUUCAUUCUGCCUUUUUUUUCAGUGCUUUACGUUGGCUCGCCUCCUCAUGAUUCUCGCUCUCGGUCACAUUCCUUACGGCACGCCGUCUCUCCUCCUCUUUGUGUUCCUUUGCUUUCUUUUUGUCUUUCUCUGGUUUUGUUUGCUUUCUUUGCGUUGCCUUUCACUCUUCCUCUCCCUUUCGAUCCCCCCCCCUCCCCUCCACACACACACUGUGGUCGAUCGUGCAUCUGCUCUGAGUAGACGUUGAGAAAUGGGUGCAGAGUGAGUAGUGCCGUGAAGAAACGCGUACACAACAAUGCAUCUGCGGCCCCGCAUGAUGUUGUCUUGCACUUUUCUUCUCUCCUCGUCCCUCUUCUUUGCUCCCAUUCGGUCACUGACUGCUCGUUCGUUUUUUUUUUGUUUGUUUGUUUUUGUGUUUGUUUUUUCUCCUUCCAGCUCCCUUUCUUUCUUGUCUUGCAAAUAUCUUUGUUAUGCCUCCAUGACCCCACGCGUCCACCGGAAGCCCACAAGAGCGCAUCGCACCCCUUGCACGGGCACCUUUGCGGAUGGAAACGUGUAGGUCGCGAUGAUUGUGCUUCUGCUGCACAUCACCUUCUCUUUUUCGCUUGUCGAUUUCUACGCUGCCAUGCUGUUGCCGCACAGGUUUGCUUGCGUGUGGUGGAUGGAUGUGUCUUCAUGUCUGAGAGCGUGAGCCGCGGAGUUAUCGACGACCGUCUCUAGCGUAUUGCUACAAGGAGCUGCGAGCACGAGCAGCUGUGCGCACGUGUUCCUUCUUUUCCAGAUGACGGCGCCGGGGGUGCUGCCCAUUCGCGUCCGCGGAGGGGAGGCUCUUCUCCGCGGGAACUGGCGGGUACCGAACGGGGCGAUUCAUCGGCGCACAGGUGAGAAAGACGCAAUUCGUAUAUGACAUUUUCUAAACGAAUACAUAUAUAUAUAUAUAUAUAUGUAUAAACCAAACGGGGCACGGAAGGAGAAGCAAGGGAAUGGCGCAUCUCGUGCAGAGAGAAGGACCAGAGCCCCGCAAACAGCAGCAAAAAACGAAAGAGAAUGCCCAACACUUCUUAGCGUUGUGUGCAUCGCUGUUGACAUCGCACUUUCGAUGUCUUGAGUAUCUUCCUCGCUUCCGCUUUCAGGUGAAUCUUGCCGCCGAGACGAGCAGUGUGCCCCUCCUCGACGGCUACGUGAAAUUCGACAUAACGGCGCCCGUGACUGGCGCAUUGAACUGCGCGUUUUAUGAGAGAGAAAUAAAAAAAGGUACCGUUCCGUACCACGACGGCUUUUCUCCCCUUCCUGAUCGCCUCCCUGAUGAGGAGGGACAUCUCCGUGCGUCGUAUCCUCAGGGUUCCCAGUGGUGCACGGACUCUGCGGGGGAAGAGAACUCAGGCAGCCUCCCCCGCCCCUAUGUAUCCCCUGCCGAUCCCAAGCCACGUCUGGUGUUGACAGGGUCCAAGUGCCGGCGGCGUAGGGAGGCCGGAGCGAUGUAUUGCUGCUGAUGUCGGCGGCCAGGUGAUGGACAGUGUUCUGCUGGAGCGAGCGGCGACCGUGCACACGCUUGUGCCAUCCACAUGAUGGGCAGAGUGUCAGCCUGGCUCGAGCGCAACCUAUCACCCGGAUCCCCUCGCACUGGCCUACUGAUGUGUGUGUGUGUGUGUGGGAGGGCGGGAGGCCUGAGGCGCGUGGGGUGGGUGGAGUUUAAUGCCGGGGCCGUGCUCGCAGAUGACUGCGUCGCCGCAUUGCUGUACGUUGCGCGUGUCUAGCGCUGCUUUGGACCAGGCGCAUGGGGCCCGUGACGGGGCCGGUGGGGCAGAAUGGCGUUGAGCCUCAUGCCCUAUUACAGAAAAUAGACACGGUGAGGAGGAAGCGGCCUGUAACGCCAUUGCAUUUUUCGAUUUUUUUUGCUGUUCUGGAGCCUCACGGUUUCCAAAUCCUUCAAGGUGGGUAAGGUAGAGAUGGCACUUCGUGAAUUCCACUGCGGCUCCGCGCGGGGACUGGAGAAAAUUGCCUAUGAGAAUUUCCGCUUCCUCACGAUGUAGUGCAAAGGAGCGCUGCUAUCGACAAGAAGGGCGUCGGCACCGGCCCUGUCGCUGCUGCAUGGAAAGAGGCGCUCACAAGGGCCCUCCUCAGGCUGGACAAGCUGGACGGUGGACUCGCGUCUUGCGGCCCCUGUGCCGCGGACCAGCUAGUUGCGCUAGUUACUCGGGGAAACGGUCUCGCGACGACUGCUCGACGAUCUGGAAGACGGGCUUCUACCACAGUCGUCUGGUUGGCGUCCUCAGCACUCCACUGGAGCCCCCUGGACCUAGUGCUUCACAAAGUAGUGCAACCCCAGCAGGGUUCCAAGGUAGGAGCAGUGUUUGCAGACUUCACGCUCGCGUGCGUGUAGUUCCGCCGAUCACGGCGCUCUCACAACGCCAGUGAAGAAGUUUGGCGUAGACCCGUGAUCAUACUCGCUGAAUCACGGAAUUCUCCGACGAUCGUCGCGGCUGUGCUCGCUUCCGCAAGAGGGAGUCGAGGACGCCCAGGGUGUGCAUGCGGAACCCCACAAGGAUCAGCCAUAGGGCCUCUUUUCUUCAUCAGUGCAGUGGGCUCGCUGAAAGUGGAGAUGAACAGGAGACGCGGACUGCACCACGCCUCCUUAGCCGACGACCUCGCACUCUGUACGCCCUCUGGAGAGAGGAGCAUCGGUCACUGGAGCACUUCGUGGCGUUGAGUGCCCCCUCUAAGCGAAGCACGCACUCACGCCAGGAGGCUACCCUGCGGAUUUGGAACGGGAGCUACACACGCAGGAUGAAGCUGUUUGUCACGGCCCUUCGGCAGCUCCCAUACGGGUGUACGCAGUCACCGACCCCUUCGGGGCCCAGCACGCAGUCACGUACUUCAUGCGCAGCGGUCGCUCGCACCUCAACGCGUCCGCCCUCCCCAUCCCUGCCCGCUGUGGGCAGAUGGCCCGGUACAAAUCGACAUCAAGCCAGGAGCGGCAGCGGUGCUCCAUGAUAAUACUGCACUCAUGGGUGCAGCGGCAAAGGGCUGCGGCCUCCUUGCUUGCAGCUACCACGCUGGGUGCGAAGCAGCGAAGCUGUGGCGCUCAGCACAGGCCCUGCAGCGGUGAGAGAUUGUAUGUGGUGACGCAUCUGGGCGCAGGUGCUGCCUGCUACUGCGCUAGAAUGGUGGUAGUCCCACCCCUCCUAGCUUUUCCUGCGAUGACGUCUCACGAGGCGAUGUGCUCGGUGUGCUCCGCGGCAUUCGCGGGUCACCCGGCGCUCGAAGCACGCCUCAUUUCACGCCACGAUCUUGCGCGCGGUUUCCCUACUACGCACACCUCACUCGCGCAGCAUGGGCUUCCCCAGCCCCCUCUCGGGUGUCUGCCUCUGCCCGCUGUCUCACUACCCAUCCCCAAAAGCACAUAGAGACAAGCUGUGAGCUUAUUGUGCACAGGCACAUGUCUAUCGACGGGCCUCCUCCGCCUGGCACACCCGCUCCUGUCAGAGGUGAGCGGAUUCUGGAGAGGGUGGAAUCCCACUGCCGUCCCAGACUCAUAGCAGCGUCCCAGAUGUAGGGGCACGCGCGGGCAAGCCAUCCACACACGCCACCCUGUGAGAUCUACGGAUAUGGUUGAUGAAAGAGGCAGCCCUCCUCAUCGUACAGCAACGCCGUUGUGAAGCAGGCCUCAGGAUACAGAAAUUUGAGCAUUAUGCGUACGCGCUGCCAAGCACAGCUGGUACGGUUUGUCACAUCUAAACAAGACAUCCAGAGGCCGAAGUAACAAGAUUGACCGACGAAAAAGGCUGUAGGAGGCCUACACCAAUGAACGCCGCAGUGCGUGCGUCCGAAGCGCGCGGCAUCUCCCACAUCCGACCGGGAUUGGCUGAUGAGGCGUAGAUGCCGGAAGCAUGGCGAGCGCACCCCGAGUUGCACCAUCGGAUCCUUCACACCUCGAUGCGGAGAGUCAGCACACCACGUUGUAGGAUGCCGCGGCUUGAGGUGACUCAGGGCGAGGCAUGGCAUACAGGCCGGGUGUGCAGAGGGUCAUGACCUGAGGCUGAUCAACUUCCUCUUUGAUCUCGCCCGGCAUGCGCCUAGGCCACCUCCUGCUAGCUGCACGACAGACGCCAUCGCCUCCGCGCUGGAGCACGUCCCUGGACGCGGGCCCGCCUGGGGAUCCAAGGUGUGCAGUCCACCCAUGUCUCCGUGUGGCGCCGAUCGGGCAGCACGUAUGGUGCAGGAGUGAUGCGGAUGGUCAAGCACAUCCCGCCACACGCUUGACCGGACGCAACGGCAGGACAGAUCGUCCUAGACGACCAGGAUUCAGCUGCAUUCCUACAAGGGUAGGUGGACAGCUGUGGCCGUGGUAUGCGUGUGCUUGCUGAUUUACUUGUGAUGGUAUUGGACACGUGGAGAGGAGAAAAUGCUUUUUGUGUGUGUAUGCUGCGGAGAUGUGUCCAAGCGUUAUAUCCUGUUCUCUUUGCGGUAUGCCGACGUAGUCAUUGUGAUUCGUUGAUUCUAUGGCUCAUUGUUUUUUGCGAUUUGUGCGUGGGUGGGGGAGUGUGUUUAGGUGGCCCUUCUAUCAUUGCGUGUGGGUGUUUUUUAUUUGGUUUUCAUGUAGGUGCUCGUGUGUUUUCACCGACGGCGUUCGUGUGUGUUCGCUUCUCUUUCCCUGUAGUGCGCGUGUACUGCACCAAGUCCGCAUCUCUACCGCUCUGUGUCUCAUUAUUAUUAUGGGUUUCGCCGUUUGCAUCGUUGCCCUCGGCUGCUAGCUAUGUGCGUGUGGAAUGUGGCGUCGGCGGCAGUAUCCAGUGUUGAAAACUGUUCUUGUCUUCUUUUAUCUUUAACGGUCUUCGGCAUAUUUCCAACAUGGUGUCUUCAUUUGUUAUCGUCUUUUUCCACUCACAUCCCUGCCUCUUGAUACUGCUCUUACCCCUGCCGGUGCUGCUGUUGUUAUCGCCCUCCUCUACGCCUCUUCGCUCGCAUCUUUGCGUGUCGCUCUCUGCCGUUGUUUCAAUUCGCCGAUGCAUGGCACGAAGGUGUCGGUGUAGCGGCUUGCGUAUGUCUUUAUGUGGACUCUGUAGGUAAAACCUUCGCUGCCGUGAAGAAAAAACUUCGGCCGUGACUGCAGCUUUUCUUUUCAUGCUUCUCUCGCACCCCGAGAACGAGGGACAUCUCCGUGUGUCGUAUCCUCAGGGUCCCCAGUGGUGCACGGACUCUGCGGGGGAAGAGAACUCAGGCAGCCUCCCCCGCCCCUAUGUAUCCCCUGCCGAUCCCAAGCCACGUCUGGUGUUGACAGGGUCCAAGUGCCGGCGGCGUAGGGAGGCCGGAGCGAUGUAUUGCUGCUGAUGUCGGCGGCCAGGUGAUGGACAGUGUUCUGCUGGAGCGAGCGGCGACCGUGCACACGCUUGUGCCAUCCACAUGAUGGGCAGAGUGUCAGCCUGGCUCGAGCGCAACCUAUCACCCGGAUCCCCUCGCACUGGCCUACUGAUGUCUGUGUGUGUGUGUGUGUGUGGGAGGGCGGGAGGCCUGAGGCGCGUGGGGUGGGUGGAGUUUAAUGCCGGGGCCGUGCUCGCAGAUGACUGCGUCGCCGCAUUGCUGUACGUUGCGCGUGUCUAGCGCUGCUUUGGACCAGGCGCAUGGCGCCCUCUGACGGGGCCGGUGGGGCAGAAUGGCGUUGAGCCUUAUGGCCGAUGGCAUAAAACGAAUACUCUGAGAAAUAAGUAAGCCUUUCUCCUCUCCAAUCGCUGAGGGUUUGGGCGACGCGGUUGUAGUUAUGUUUUUUUUUUCACUUGACCUUUAUCAUAAACUUACGACGUGUAAGGCUCCCUUACGUUUUGUUAUCUCUGUCACGUGUCUCUCAUGCACCGCUAGUAGGCGUAUGUAGGUGUGAAUCCUUUACAAGGAUGUCUCCUAAAAAAGUCGUGUGCGGUGGUCAGUGGGUAGGGCUGAAAGUGUCGUGUGUGCUCAUCAGCACUGUUUUCAGUGAUUGUGGCAUGCAGGCAAGCAUAGGUGCUGUACUCCGAAUAUACACAUCUCAUCGCAGUCAAUGAUGCCGGUUUCCAGAGCGCCUAAGCGAAUCCGAGGGUUUUUGUUGUUUUGUCUGCUGCUUUUUCCUCCCCGCCUAUUAGGUCUCACGCAUGUGAUUCUUGAUUUCUGUUUUGCUUGCCGAUAUUUCAGUGCUACAUCCGACUUUGAUGUGUUAGUUUUUUUUUUUCGGUCUCUGUAAGUUUAUGUAUGUAUAUGUGUUUUUUGCGCAGGGAAAGGGAUGUGGGGAGCCUUGUGUGAAGAAUGGAGCCGUUUACAGAGAAUGAAAAACAAAGACAUGCUUGGCGUUGUCGACGCCUCCCUCUUCUCCCGCCUCCCUUUCACGUACGUCGUAAGGUGGGACUGGAGAAAGCACAAAUGGAUGGACUCAUGCGAAGACAAGAAAGACUAAAGCUACGUCUUUCUCUGGGGCUCAUCCGUUGGGGGCUUUGAUGGGGCGCUUGUGCGUAGCUGUGUAUGCUGCUCCACCACGGCAGCAAUCGUGCCGUUUAUUUAUUCGUUUGCGCUUCCUUUUUUUUUUUACAGCAUGCCUGUGCGUUUUCGUUUCUUGUUUGUUUUUGCAACAACGCACCUCUGCGAGGAUAAAGACGUAACAGUGUUGUGUAAGAUGUUAAGUGGCAUUAUCUCUCUCCCUCGGCCUUCAGAUGAAGGGACAAAUACGAUAUGCUCCCUUUCGUUGCUUAUUUUUGUUGCCAAAAGAACAUACACGUAUUGCUCCUUUUUUUUUUCGUGUGUGUUGCGUUCUUCUGUUGUUAAUAAUGCGUUUUGGUGGGCGUGUUGGGUGUGUAUGCGUGUACAGGUGAGGUGUGUAUGUGUGUGUGUGUGUGCAUGCGCGUGAGUGCGUGCUGAGCGCUCUCAAUGUGCUCACGACGUCGACCUUGUUUUCAUUUCGCCUUUUCUCACCCCUCCAACCAUUGCAACGUUUUGAUUCAGAUCCUCGUCCAUCCACCUUUCGCGACUUGUGCGAACUUAUUCACGGGGCGCGUAUGGUGCGUACUCAACGCGUGUGUAGGUGCGGGCGUCUCUUCCGGAGUGUACACGUACACUGGGUAACUGGACAUUGCAUUUCUUCCAGAAACGCUGAAGCCGACGGAAACAAAAAAAGACACACGGCAGAAAACGCCUAUCGUACCGACGCAUGCUUUUUCCCUCUCCACAAACGCACACACACGCACACGCAAAUAACACAUAUAAGUGGCAUUG